ensembl:lncRNA
GUGAUUAUGAAUAUUGCAUGAAUAUAUCGCUGAAUGUAUGCAGGGAUGUGACACUUAGUUGUGGCGUAUGGCUUCUGUUAGGCAGGAAUCUUAUUUAGCAUUACAGAUGUAUGGAUUGGUCCCAGUUUGAGGAAAGUUGGUUUAAGAGAAUAUUUAUUUGCAUUUGUGGUUUGAAAGGCGGCCAAGGAAUAAGAGUAAAUACCUCAUGCAGUAUUUGACGGAGGAAUAGGUUUACAAAUGCAAAUUUGAAGUUACGGUGGUUUCUCACUCGAGUAAAAUGUUUCAUUCCUGUUCCAAAGAGCAGAUGCCCAACAAACAUCCCUGUGCAGGAAAAGGAAACUCUUCCUUAAACAUCCUGCAGCAAACGUGACUGAUGGAGCUUCCUUUUCCCUCUGCCUGGUGCAUUUCCCCUCUUUACACAGACAGGAUCUAACCAGAUUUGCAGGCUAUGAACUGAGGUUACUUUCAAAUUCAUAACUGUGAAAUGUUCGUUUAGCAGGACAGAGGCCAGGCCAGCAGACACCCUUCUUCCAGCCCAGCGUGUGCAUAGCAGUAGGGGGGUGGCAAGGAGCUUUUGUUAAUCUCAACCAAGCUGGCAAGAAUGCUGCAAAACGAAGGCUUUGAAGAUACUUUUUCUUCAUUCUUAAAGCAACAGUUAGUUCAAGAAAGCAUAAAAAUCUUGCCAAAAAAAUCUAUAAAAUAUUGAAAGACCUCCCUGGCAGUCAUGUAAAUUCCCCCACUAGUAAUUAGCCUCUGCAGUUUCAUUUAACAGACAUUUUUUUCACAGGUUCUGUUCUGAUGCAACUGUGAAAAUGCUUUUUCCCCAGCUUGAAUGCACUUCUUGACAAAAAUGGAUGGUGGAAAGGAUUUAGGGUAUCGGGUCAGGCUGGGUCCAGUCCAAGCAGCAGUGGGCUUUUUUUUCCCCUUCUAUUUUAAACUUGUAGGAAUUGAAAGCUUAAAGGGCUUCAUGUUUAGAGCUGUUCUCCAAGUAGUUGGGACUCAGUCCACUUCCUAAUGUGCUCACAUCACAAGACCAACCGCUGCCACUUGCUCUUUUGUCUGAGCUCCAGUGGAGGGCUGAGGUGCUGACUGUGGCACAAGGGAAGUUCCCACUUGCCCAGGGCUGAGCCAGCUCUCCCCCCAGCAGCCCAGGGGAAGGCUGCUCUGUGACACCGACACCGCUCCCCGUUACUGAGCCCAAACCAUCCCCUGCCCUGUCAUAAAGAGCGACUCCUUCUGGGGAUUGGUUUAGAUGUUUUUAUUUUGUAUUUAUAAUUUCACAUAAAAAUAAAAACAAGUGCUAUAGAUCUUUAUUUCCACUGGGAUGAGGUUCAGGCCUGCUCCUGAGUGCUUUUAAUUCCUAAGCUUCAGGACUAGAUCUUUGCUCUCAGAAACAAAACAGUGCAGAAGAAACCAAUUUGUACCCUGAAGCCAGCAAUGUCGGUAGCAACGUUCACAUGGGUGGUUGUUCAUUUUUUUUUCUUGUGAAGUAAUGCAAUACAUAAGUAUACUGAAGGAUGAGAUAAAAUGCAAUUAUUCUUUUUGAAUAGACGUGGUUGGACGCUACCCUGUGACCUCAGUGAAUUUUGACACAUCAGCAAUGAGCUACGUUUUGGAUAGGAUGAGGGUUUGUCUACUAGUACAUACACAGCACUGGCUUCUUCCAUGAGGUCGGAUUGUGGAGUUGUUUCAGAUGUGGUUAUCAGUGGACCCAGCCCUGCUGUGACAUGAAGCUAUCAAGAAUUUUGGCUUGCUAAAAAAGAUUCCAUUUGAAGGGACGUGCUUUUGUCCCUCCCACCCCCCAACAUACCAGUUCUGAUUGGAUGGUAAAUACUUGCAGGGAACAGGCAGAAAGACCGCUGUCCCUUAAGUGCCCAAAUCCGGCAGCACUUCUGAAGGCUCAGAAGUAAAGCCCCAUGCAGGCCUAUCUGCUGGGGUGUGGCUUCUUUGUAAUCCUUCCAUUUGAGACAAAUCCCAUUAUUUUAGCAGAUCACACCAAUUUAAAGUGAAGUCUGCAGGAUUUGUGCUAAUAUCCACUGACUCUUCUUCCUCGACAGCAGAGGGCUCAGUGUGGUGUAACAUGGCCGUAGGUAGGGGCUGGGUCACAGAAACAGCUGGACAGUAGCAUUUAAAAUACAAAUAAAAUAACUGAAACAAAUAAAGGCACCAGACGUGACAGCCAACUUUGGUAGAUUUCUUGCAGAAUAUAUGCAUUUAAAUACAUUUACAGUUUACAAGGCUAUACUGUUUUUAAAAAAAGCUGCACCUCUUUGUAGAGCAAAGCUGAUCCCGGACAUACCGCCCCGCUUUCUGUUGUCUGGGUGGUUCAGACCCUGCCAUGUGUGUGUUUAAAAACAAAAGAGUUAUCUUUAUAAGGGUAAAUUUUUUGCUCAGCAUUCAACAUCAAUGUUUGUGGGGGCUUUAGUCUCUCUUUCAGAUCCGUGUAUGGAUUGAUACUGCUGGGGUUUUAAGUUUGCUAAGCAAAGCAAGAACAGUCAAUAUAAAUCUGUCACAACCCCCAGGAACGGUCAGCCUGCUGUCUGAGCGUCAUUAGGAACUGUAAGAGUCAGCGCAGAGCUUUGGGGUGCAGUGGGGAGCGCUGGGCUCUGAGCACUGUGCUCUGAGGAGCACUCGCAGCACGAUUCCUCUUGCUGUUGGCAGAGCUCCUUGUGGCAGUACGGUGCUGCCACAGCCUGCAGCAGCUUUCUGUCUUGAUUUGAUGCUACGAAGGAGGAAGGUGUUUUACCUUGUCAACAAUUUGCUUGAGAGAGCAUCACAUCACCCCUCUGACACUUUUGUUGGUUUUGGUUGCUGUUGUUUGUGUCUCCAGUGUAAAAGGGAAAGGUACAUGGUAAUAUUCCAGGCUGUGGUGAGGUUUAACAGCUCAGAAAUUAGUUACACUGCUCAGAGCAUCUUCCUCCCAGUCUGCAGUGCUACCAGGAGGAGCUGUGAGGGCCAGAGGAACCAUAACCUCCCAUCUCCCCCCCACUGCGCGGUCCCAGUUGAGAUAUUUGGAGAAAGUCCUCUAGCAUUUAAUUUAUUUGCCCGAUUAAUUAAAUUAAGGCAAGUGCAUGUUACCGAAGUUACAGUGGGGAGCCGAGCAUGUGUAUGUCCAGCUGAGCACAUGUGAUUCAGAUUUGGCAGCGAGAAGUGCUCAGCAAGAAGGCCACGAAGCCUCUCAUAGCCUAAGCAUCACGAGCGAGGGAAAGGUUUGUUUCCAGUCUCCUGUAGUACAGACGAGAGGCACAGAGGGACGCCGUGCUGGAGCCAGGGCACAAAGAUCUCCCAGGUCUCUGCAUUUAGUCCCCCUGUAUCUCUGGCGACCUGCAAUGAGUUCGUAUUCAAGUACAAGAAGGACAGAAGCUGACGAAGGAGAAGUGAUGGAGAACCUGGAAUAAUGGCUUUUGUUCUCUGCUGAGCAACAGCAGCUAUCUGAAAUCACUUUCAAAAGUCUCAAAGGCGCACAGAUCAGCGCUUUGAGGGCCCAAAACAACGGAACAAAACGACGUGCCUUUCUCCAAGCAGUUAUUUGCCUGCAUGAUUAAGGACCAAGGUUAGAGUCUUCCUUCAGAUAGGAACCCGAGUUUAGCUGCCCACAAAGAACAAAAGGAAAAACCUUAACCAGUUAAAGCCAUGGCAGAAGUCAGUCAGCUGCAGGUUUUCAGGAGAUAGAACGAAGAAGGGAAGCUUCUCCUCCCCGACAGGGCACGCACGACGGCCCGGCAGCGCGCAGAGAGGCACCAGCGGCUCCGCACCACUCCCGGCUCCGCUCCAGCAGCGCGGCGGUGCCGCCGGGCCGGGCAGCGCUGGCCGG